rnacentral:rRNA from 1 species
UUAUCAAUUUAACAGUUCGUGGGAUAGACGCUCGUAAGGCUACCCUUCCCACGCUGUUUCAACCCUUUGUCUUUUGCGUACUGUAUGUUUCCUCGGCGGGUUCGCCCGCCGAUAGGACACUUCAAAACCUUUUGUAAUUGCAAUCAGCGUCAGAAAAACUAUAAUAGUUACAACUUUCAACAACGGAUCUCUUGGUUCUGGCAUCGAUGAAGAACGCAGCGAAAUGCGAAAAGUAGUGUGAAUUGCAGAAUUCAGUGAAUCAUCGAAUCUUUGAACGCACAUUGCGCCCCUUGGUAUUCCAUGGGGCAUGCCUGUUCGAGCGUCAUUUGUACCCUCAAGCUCUGCUUGGUGUUGGGUGUUUGUCCCGCCUCGCGCGUGGACUCGCCUUAAAGUCAUUGGCAGCCGGAAUAAUUCUGGGGAACGCAGCACAACUGCAGCCUCCAUUUUACGCCGAGCGUCCAGUAAGCCUUUUUUUCAACGUUUGACCUCGGAUCAGGUAGGGAUACCCGCUGAACUUAAGCAUAUCAAUAAGCGGAGGAAAAGAAACCAACAGGGAUUGCCCUAGUAACGGCGAGUGAAGCGGCAUCAGCUCAAAUUUGAAAUCUGGCUCUUUCAGGGUCCGAGUUGUAAUUUGCAGAGGGAGCUUUCGAGUUGGCAGCGGUCUAAGUUCCUUGGAACAGGACGUCACAGAGGGUGAGAAUCCCGUACGUGGUCGCAGGCCUUCUCGAGGUAAAGCCCCUUCGACGAGUCGAGUUGUUUGGGAAUGCAGCUCUAAAUGGGAGGUAAAUUUCUUCUAA